CUACGAAUUGUCACAUGAAGGUAUUGAACUCUGAAUACAUAGGGGUUCAAAGCUAACCCAGGGAACUGAAACAUCUAAGUACCUGGAGGAAAGGACAUCAACGAGACUCCGUUAGUAGUGGCGAGCGAACGCGGACCAGGCCAGUGCCUGACUGUAAGUUACCGGAAGUGGUUGGGAAACCACGCAAUAAUGGGUGAUAGCCCCGUACGGAUCUGCGAACAGUUGGGACAUGAGUAAGGCGGGACACGUGAAAUCCUGUCUGAACAGUGGGGGGACCACCCUCCAAGCCUAAGUACUCCUCAGUGACCGAUAGUGAACAAGUACCGUGAGGGAAAGGUGAAAAGCACCCCGAUGAGGGGAGUGAAAUAGACCUGAAACCGAAUGCCUACAAGCAGUCGGAGCCCGCGAAGGGUGACGGCGUACCUCUUGUAUAAUGGGUCAGCGACUUAGUCUCACGAGCAAGCUUAAGCCGAUAGGUGUAGGCGCAGCGAAAGCGAGUCUGAAUAGGGCGAAUGAGUUCGUGGGAUUAGACCCGAAACCGGGUGAUCUAGUCCAUGGGCAGGUUGAAGGUGGGGUAACACCCACUGGAGGACCGCACGCGUAACCGUUGAAAAGGUUUGCGAUGACCUGUGAUUAGGGGUGAAAGGCCAAUCAAACUCGGAAAUAGCUGGUUCUCCGCGAAAGCUAUUUAGGUAGCGCGUCGGACGUUCACCGAUGGGGGUAGAGCACUGGAUGGGCUAGGGGGGAGCGAUCCUUACCAAACCUAACCAAACUCCGAAUACCAUCGGGUCAGAGUU
rnacentral:ncRNA from 1 species